rnacentral:rRNA from 1 species
ACUCCAAACCCUUGAGAACAUACCUAGUUGCCUCGGCGGACUUGCCCUGGGACGACCUACCCUGCAGCGAGUUACCCUGUAACGAGUUGCCCUGUAGAGACCUGCCCUGUAGCCUGCCCGCCGGCGGCCAACCUAAACUCUGUUUUAUUGUGGCACUUCUGAGGAUUAUUCUAAAUGAAUUAAAACUUUCAACAACGGAUCUCUUGGUUCUGGCAUCGAUGAAGAACGCAGCGAAAUGCGAUAAGUAAUGUGAAUUGCAGAAUUCAGUGAAUCAUCGAAUCUUUGAACGCACAUUGCGCCCAUUAGUAUUCUAGUGGGCAUGCCUGUUCGAGCGUCAUUUCAACCAUCAAGCCCUAUUUGCUUGGCGUUGGGAGACUUGUAGGCCCGGCCUGCAAGCUCCUGAAAUAGAUCGGCGGAGUCGUGGCGACCCUCAGCGUAGUAAUUCUUCUCGCUUUAGGUGUCGGCGCUGGCGUUUAGCCGUUAAACCCCCUAUUUUUUAGUCUUGACCUCGGAUCAGGUAGGA